rnacentral:rRNA from 1 species
GAUGAACGCUGGCGGCGUGCCUAAUACAUGCAAGUCGAGCGGACGGACCAGACGCUUGCUUCUCUGAUGUUAGCGGCGGACGUGUGUGUAACACGUGUAUAACCUCCCUGUAAUACUGGUAUAACUUCGGGAAUCCGGAUCUAAUACCGUAUGAUAUUCUGAAGCGCAUGGUUCAUAAGUAAGAUACGGUCUUGCUGUCACUUAUAGAUGGAUCUGCGCUUCAUUAUCUAGUUGGUAAGGUAACGGCUUACCAAGGCAACGAUGCAUAGCCGACCUGAGAGGGUGGUCGGCCACACUGGAAGGGAGACACGGUCCAGAGUACUAAGGGAGGCAGCAGAAGGGAACCGUCGGCAGUGGGCGAAAGCAUGACGCAGUAACGCCACGUGAGAGAUGAAGGUCUUCGGAUCGUAAUAAUGUGUUAUUAGGGAAGAACAUCUGUGUAAGUAAAUGAGCAGAUAUUGACGGUAAUUAAUAAGAAAGCAACGGCUAACUACGUG